ACUUUCUUAGUAUAAUUAGUACUACUGACUUCCAAUCAGUAAGCCUCGCAAUACAAGUGAGAGAAAGUA
rnacentral:tRNA from 1 species